rnacentral:rRNA from 1 species
UAAGAGGUCCUACCUGCCCAGUGACACUCGUUUAACGGCCGCGGUAUCCUAACCGUGCAAAGGUAGCGUAAUCAUUUGUCUUUUAAAUAGGGACUAGUAUGAAUGGUGUGACGAGGGCUUAACUGUCUCCUCUCUCCGGUCAAUGAAAUUGAUCUCCCCGUGCAGAAGCGGGGCUAAGCUCAUAAGACGAGAAGACCCUAUGGAGCUUUAGAUACUAAGGUAGACUAGAUUAAAUUACUUCACAACAAAGAACUAAAAUCAUCACCACCCUACCCCUAUAUCUUCGGUUGGGGCGACAAUGGGGAAACAAAAAUCCCCCAUGCGGAACGGGAGCAAAACCCUGAAAUAUCACUUUCACUAUCAAACUUCCUCCUCAAAUUAAGAGUGACAACUCUAAGUUACAGUACUUCUGAACACAAAUGAUCCGGCAAUGCCGAUUAACGAACCAAGUUACCCUAGGGAUAACAGCGCAAUCCCCUUUUAGAGCCCGCAUCAACAAGGGGGUUUACGACCUCGAUGUUGGAUCAGGACAUCCUAAUGGUGAAACCGCUAUUAAGGGUUCGUUUGUUCAACG